GGAGACGAGAUAUGGUCUCAUUGAGAUACGGUCACCUCACUGAUUACCAGAGUUGAUUCUGCUGAUCUGGCUGUCCAGUGGGGUGCUGCCUGCCUUCCUCACACCUCCAUAUGUGUCCAUCCCAAAGCUGAAUGCUCAGCAGAGGAAGAUGGCAUUCCCUGAUAGAUAAGACUGUUAUUUCAAAAAGGGUACACAAGUAGCUGUGCGGCCCUCCAAACAAGCUUGCAAGAAUCAAUAAGUGAAUGAUACAUUUCUAAGGACAAAAAAGAAAUAUGAUAUUCCCAUCCAGUUAGUUAUU
rnacentral:snRNA from 1 species